UAGUCCACGCUGUAAACGAUGAGGACUAGUUAUUUUACUUUCGGGUAGAGUGACGCAGCUAACGCAUUAAGUUCUCCGCCUGGGGAGUACGGUCGCAAGACUAAAACUCAAUGGAAUUGACGGGGGCCUGCACAAGCGGUGGAGCAUGUGGUUUAAUUCGACGCAACGCGCAGAACCUUACCAGCUUUUGACAUCCUGGUCGCGGAUUUGGGAGACCAUUUCCUUCAGUUCGGCUGGACCAGUGACAGGUGCUGCAUGGCUGUCGUCAGCUCGUGUCGUGAGAUGUUGGGUUAAGUCCCGCAACGAGCGCAACCCUCAUCCUUAGUUGCCAGCAUUUAGUUGGGCACUCUAAGGAAACUGCCGGUGAUAAGCCGGAGGAAGGUGGGGAUGACGUCAAGUCCUCAUGGCCCUUACAAGCUGGGCUACACACGCGCUACAAUGGCGAUGACAGUGAGCAGCUAACCCGCGAGGGCAAGCUAAUCUCUAAAAGUCGU
rnacentral:rRNA from 1 species